UGGUUAGAGCGCACCCCUGAUAAGGGUGAGGUCGGAAGUUCGAGUCUUCCCAGGCCCA
rnacentral:tRNA from 1 species